AUGGCUUCGGGUUCACCCACUCUGGCGCUCAAGGCAGCCAUCGUCGCCGCCCUCCUCGCCACGCUGGCUCUUCCUUCCCUGGGGCGUUGCCGUCCGGCGCUCGAGCCGCCAGCGCCGGCUCCGGCUCCAGCAAAAGUAUCAUGCGGUGAGUACUGUAGGAACUACUGCCCCAUGAAUUCGACGUGCCAGACCACCGUUCGCCUUCAGUGCGCCCCCCUAUGCAGAGGGGAUGGGCAGGUGGGAUGCAACGGCUGCUGGAGCAUGGGCAUGAACGACUGCCUCAACGCCUGCGUCAAGGACUGCGAGGCCAAGUGCGCCGGCGGGUAA
rnacentral:rRNA from 1 species